GAAUACAAUCAACUGAAUGUUAAAGAAACAAAGAUAUUAGGAAUAGGAACAUAAGGUCCAGUCAAGUCAAUAACUAAGUCUGUGCUAGUCUUAUAAAUACACCUCAGCCGUGUCUGUAAUGAACAUCUGAUGAUAACCUUGUAAGAAUAUCUAUCUUAUAUCAAUUCAAGAGAUUUUACAUGGUAUCAGUCGAGUAAGAAAAAAAUCCUAAAACUUUUUGUUCGAUCCUAACCUAAUUUAUUCAGUCACACUUUCAAAUCUUAAACAACAUCAAUCUUCAUAUCUUUAACUUCUUCAAUCUUCAAAAUUUCUUCAAUUAAACUUCAAAACCCUAUAUGUUCUUGAAUAAUCUCAAUUCUUUGUUUCUGAAAAUUUAUUCAAUUAAAUCGUUACCGGUGAAGAACAACAACAUAAAUUUUGUCUUCCGCUGCUGAAGGAGCUACAUCUGGGCAAAAUUCAAGCUAGGAUUUUAUCUCAUAAUUUCCAUCAUCAUCAUCAGCACUUACUAUCUUUUACAGUAUUCUUUGCUCCUCCUGCGUUUGUCAAUUUAGGACAACCUAGUUUGAAUCUAUUACAAUAUCAUAUCUCACCAUUGAAGUUCUCGAUUCAAACCCUAAAAUCACUUCCUUAUGGUACUAGAAUUCCUACUUUGUUCCCAAAUCAGAGUUUGUUGGUUUUUAGUUUUGAGAAUGGAGGCAAAAUUUCAUUAAGUAGUGUUAGAAUUAAGGAAUAUGUUAUUAUAGAUUUUGGAUCUUUGUUUUGAUCCAUCUUAUCAAACUACUCAUGGAUGAUUACUCUAUUCUGCCAAUGAUUAUUCCGAAUUUGAUACUGAAACUGCUAAUGCUUCCAAGUUCAUCUUAUCAAGAGGUUAUUUUAUAAUGUUUACUUCUUUUGAUCUUCAAUUAAGCGGAUUAGUGAAAGUAAUAACAGAUGUGUCGAUUUUUUUGCUGAUACCGAUUUUGAGUCUUGGAUCUGUAUUUCAUUGCCAUUUUCUUCCUUGUAAACUUCCUGUGAAAGAUUUUUGAGGUCCUGCAACAACUGCAACAACAAUUAUUCAUUUAUAUAUUGUAACAUCGAAAAGCAUUACUUUUGCAACAACAACAAAUUGAAGACCAGUUUACUAUAACAACAACAACAGUGUCAACUGAUGCCAUAAUAGAAGCAACAUCAUCAUCAAUGCAACAGCAAUAACAGCUUCCGGGUAUAUCAACAUUCAUAUGGGUAAUAACUUCUUAAAAUAAUUUCCCCAUUUAUUCAUUUUUACUUCUUUUGUAUGUCUUUCACAUACGGAGUAAUAAUUUUUCAAUAUCUAAGUGGUCCUAAAAACAUUUCAAUAACCAGUUAUAUGACUUGUUACUUCAAAACAAGUCAUAUCAAUACCUUCACAGAUCUGGUCUUAUAAACACCAGUUUCUAAAUAUCAAUUUGAGUUUCUUAACCAACAGAGAACACCAACAACAUUUUGAGUCUCUUAACCAACAGAGAACACCAAAAACAACUUGAGUCUCUUAUCCAACAGAGAACACCGAAACGAAUAGUGGAAGAUGCUAUAUUUGUUGUUUUCCACCUUGUGUUGCUGCUUAUUCUAGUGGUGUUGUUCAUACUUCUAAUACUUCUACUGGUGCUUCAACAAAUGGUGUUGUUACUUCAUGAAAUUAUGCAUUCAAAACUAACCUCAAUAGCUUGUUAUUCCUGCAUUUUGCUGCUGGCAACAUCUUUUGAGCUUAGUGCUAGUUUAUCGUUACUUUUGUUGUUACUUAAUCAUUAGCCGUUGACAAUAUUGCUUCUACUUCAACAUCUUCUUCUGUUACUAGUACUUCUCAUGCAGUUUCUGUUUGUGCACAUAGUUCUCUCCUUGCCAUGCCUUUGCUCCUUCUAUAAAAUUUGUCAGAGUUAUUAUUUUUUUGUUGCUGCCAACAUUGCUUUAUGCUGCAAUAUUAAGUACUGGUGCUGUUACUUCAUCAAAUUGUGUAUAAGUGAUGCUGCAAUUAAGGCAAUUUGUGUUUCUGCAACUAUUGGUGUCCCUUGGUGCAACAGCUGGUGCUACUUCUUCACCUUUGGUUUCUGUUUAGGGAUAAUCUAGUUGCUGAUGUUUCUGCAAUAACGCUGCAGUUUACUUUGGUCUUGUUUGUGUAUGAAUGAUCCUGCAAUUACUGCUAUAUGUAUUUCUGCUUCACAUUCAUACUUCUGCUGUGUUAGUUCUUCUGAUGCUGUAACUUCUUCAUCUGUUGCUACUAAUCCUUCAUCAACUGUUGGUUGUUCUAUUCUGCUGUACAUUUGGUGUUAUGAAGACUUGGCUCGCUGACAAGACUGCUUACUUCUAGCUGCUGACAGUGCUACUUCAUGCCACUACUACUACUGCUGAGAGUUGCUUAUGCAGAUUAUUUUGGCUAUGUCUUACCUUUCUUGUUAGUACAGUAUAGUUUGUUACUUUUUCUUUCUUCUUUGUGUCACAUUGGCUUGAGUAUGUGUAGUUUCCACAUCCUGGCUCUUGUUUGUGUAACUGUGUUGGUCUUCUAUUUUUCCUGUUCAAACUUUACAGUUUCUGUUUGUAAAGUUUGAGGGGGGUGUAUUAGGAAUAGGAACAUAAGGUUCAGUCAAGUCAAUAGACUAAGUCUGUGCUAGUCUUAUAAAUACACCUCAGCUGUGUCUGUAAUAAACAUCUGAUGAUAACCUUGUAAGAAUAUCUAUCUUAUAACCUUGUGAGAUUUUACAAAAGAAA